AUGAUCAUCUGUUCUAAAAUGCAGGGAUCCUUCCAUCCAGAAACACUGACAUUUCUGGUCUCACUUUCUAAAGUACAAAUAUUAAAUCUGUUGAUUUUGGCUUACAGGAGGGGGAAAAAGCGUCAGGACAGAAGCUUCAGGGUGACUCACAGAACAUUGAGUCCUCUGAUUUCCAGAUCUCUCGUGCUACUGCUUCUACAAGGACCUCAUCACAUUGAGGACGAGAAGUGUCUUCUCUGCACUCCUCUGUGCUGUAGGCAGCUGCCGGCAUGGGAUCCCCAGAGCCCAUCAGAUGAUGCAGGGCUGCUUCCAACGGGGCUCCAUUGUGCUCCAUGCCGACAGCACGUCAGCAGUGCAGAAAAACGAAGCUCAGAGAAGUCAGGUAUACACCCAACCCCAUGUAGAAGAAGCCUGGGGAGGAGGUGGGAAGAAGACAGGGACAGUAGAUAAACAUCAUGGGAAGGAAUCCCAUGACCAUAAGGGAACACAGUGUUACGGUGCCCCACAAUUUUCCCCACUGUCUCUCGGCUUCUCGGUCUUAAUAUGAUGAGGUCCUUAGGCAACAACUUCGGUUCACCUAUUGAUAAACCCUGUCACCCAUUGAUUCUGAUCAAUUUGUCUAUGCCUUGCACCAUCAGAGAAAGUCAUGGAACAAUUAACAAAGAGUAGUUAAGAAACUUGUCAAACUGAACUCACCAUUAACUCUUUUAAUAUCUUUACCUAACAUUCUCACACAGCAUUAGGGCCCCUGGGAGGUAUGCAGCUGUUUUCGCUUUGGCUUUUCUCAGAUUCUACCAGAGUUUUCCUCUUACUAAAUGACCAUUGUUAGAUUGGUGACAAAAGCCAGUGUAUUUCCUGUGGAAAUCCAGAUCCCCAAAUAACUUAAUCUUUCCCUUUGCUGGGAUGUCCUUCUCAUCCACAGAAAUGAAUGAUUACUCUGGAGAUUCCUAGUUAAGACCAAAAAAAAAAAAACCAAACAAGCUAAAACCUGUGAUGCAAGAUCUGUGAUGCACACAUGUAUCUUAUUGGCAAUCUCCCAACUCUUUUCAAAGAUGAAGUACAGGGUGAACAUCUGGUUCACACUAUUAAAACCUUAAUUAAAACUGAAUUUCUUUUCCAGAAUAACACCAUCUGUCACAAGCUUAGACUCUUGCUUUCUAAACAGAGAUCUUACUCACUCCCCUCCG
rnacentral:lncRNA from 1 species